rnacentral:rRNA from 1 species
UAUGGAGUUGUUGCUGGCCUCUAGGGGCAUGUGCACGCUUCACUAGUCUUUCAACCACCUGUGAACUUUUGAUAGAUCUGUGAAGUCGUCUUUCAAGUCGUCAGACUUGGUUUGCUGGGAUUUAAACGUCUCGGUGUGACAACGCAGUCUAUUUACUUAACACACCCCAAAUGUAUGUCUACGAAUGUCAUUUAAUGGGCCUUGUGCCUAUAAACCAUAAUACAACUUUCAACAACGGAUCUCUUGGCUCUCGCAUCGAUGAAGAACGCAGCGAAAUGCGAUAAGUAAUGUGAAUUGCAGAAUUCAGUGAAUCAUCGAAUCUUUGAACGCACCUUGCGCCCCUUGGUAUUCCGAGGGGCAUGCCUGUUUGAGUGUCAUUAAAUUCUCAAACUCACUUUGGUUUUUUCCAAUUGUGAUGUUUGGAUUGUUGGGGGCUGCUGGCCUUGACAGGUCGGCUCCUCUUAAAUGCAUUAGCAGGACUUCUCAUUGCCUCUGCGCAUGAUGUGAUAAUUAUCACUCAUCAAUAGCACGCAUGAAUAGAGUCCAGCUCUCUAAUCGUCCGCAAGGACAAUUUGACAAUUUGACCUCAAAUCAGGUAGGACUACCCGCUGAACUUAAGCAUAUCAAUAA